GGCUUAACACAUGCAAGUCGAGGGGUAUAGUUCUUCGGAACUAGAGACCGGCGCACGGGUGCGUAACGCGUAUGCAAUCUACCUUUUACAGAGGGAUAGCCCAGAGAAAUUUGGAUUAAUACCUCAUAGUAUUAUAGAAUGGCAUCAUUUUAUAAUUAAAGUCACAACGGUAAAAGAUGAGCAUGCGUCCCAUUAGCUAGUUGGUAAGGUAACGGCUUACCAAGGCUACGAUGGGUAGGGGUCCUGAGAGGGAGAUCCCCCACACUGGUACUGAGACACGGACCAGACUCCUACGGGAGGCAGCAGUGAGGAAUAUUGGACAAUGGGCGCAAGCCUGAUCCAGCCAUGCCGCGUGCAGGAUGACGGUCCUAUGGAUUGUAAACUGCUUUUAUACGAGAAGAAACACUGCUUCGUGAAGCAGCUUGACGGUAUCGUAAGAAUAAGGAUCGGCUAACUCCGUGCCAGCAGCCGCGGUAAUACGGAGGAUCCAAGCGUUAUCCGGAAUCAUUGGGUUUAAAGGGUCCGUAGGCGGUUUAAUAAGUCAGUGGUGAAAGCCCAUCGCUCAACGGUGGAACGGCCAUUGAUACUGUUAGACUUGAAUUAUUAGGAAGUAACUAGAAUAUGUAGUGUAGCGGUGAAAUGCUUAGAGAUUACAUGGAAUACCAAUUGCGAAGGCAGGUUACUACUAAUGGAUUGACGCUGAUGGACGAAAGCGUGGGUAGCGAACAGGAUUAGAUACCCUGGUAGUCCACGCCGUAAACGAUGGAUACUAGCUGUUGGAAGCAAUUUCAGUGGCUAAGCGAAAGUGAUAAG
rnacentral:rRNA from 1 species